GACGAAUGCUGGCUGCGUGCUUAACACAUGCAAGUCGAACGGUGAAGGAGGGCUUGCCCUCCGGAUCAGUGGCGAACGGGUGAGUAACACGUGGGCAACCUGCCCCUCACUCUGGGAUAACGCCGGGAAACCGGCGCUAAUACCGGAUACGACCAGGCGCGACAUCUCGCCUGGUGGGAAGAAUGUCGGGGAGGGAGGGGCCCGCGGCCUAUAAGCUGGUGGGGGGGGUAACGGCCCGACAAGGCGACGACGGGUAGCCGGCCUGAGAGGGCGACCGGCCACACUGGGACUGGGAAACGGCCCAGACUCGUACGGGAGGCAGCAGUGGGGAAUAUUGCGCAAUGGGCGAAAGCCUGACGCAGCGACGCAGCGUGAGGGACGAAGGCCUUCGGGUUGUAAACCUCUUUCAGCGGGGACGAAGCGAAAGUGACGGCACCCGCAGAAGAAGCACCGGCUAACUACGUGCCAGCAGCCGCAGUAAUAC
rnacentral:rRNA from 1 species